UGGUUCAGUUGGUAGAGCAUGGUGUUUGCAAUGCCAGGGUUGUGGGUUCGGUUCCCAC
rnacentral:tRNA from 1 species